UAGGGAAUCUUCCGCAAUGGACGAAAGUCUGACGGAGCAACGCCGCGUGAGCGAAGAAGGCCUUCGGGUCGUAAAGCUCUGUUGUUAGGGAAGAACAAGUACGAGAGUAACUGCUCGUACCUUGACGGUACCUAACCAGAAAGCCACGGCUAACUACGUGCCAGCAGCCGCGGUAAUACGUAGGUGGCAAGCGUUGUCCGGAAUUAUUGGGCGUAAAGCGCGCGCAGGCGGUCCUUUAAGUCUGAUGUGAAAGCCCACGGCUCAACCGUGGAGGGUCAUUGGAAACUGGGGGACUUGAGUGCAGAAGAGGAGAGUGGAAUUCCACGUGUAGCGGUGAAAUGCGUAGAGAUGUGGAGGAACACCAGUGGCGAAGGCGACUCUCUGGUCUGUAACUGACGCUGAGGCGCGAAAGCGUGGGGAGCAAACAGGAUUAGAUACCCUGGUAGUCCACGCCGUAAACGAUGAGUGCUAAGUGUUAGAGGGUUUCGCCCUUUAGUGCUG
rnacentral:rRNA from 1 species